GGUUACGGCUCAGUGGUAGAGCUCUUACCUGGCAUGUGUGAGGCACUGGGUUCGAUUCUCAGCAUCG
rnacentral:tRNA from 1 species